UCUGGUGAUGAUAGCGGAGGGGAUCCACCCGUUCCCAUCCCGAACACGGAAGUUAAGCCCUCCAGCGCCGAUGGUACUUGGGGUUCACCCCUGGGA
rnacentral:rRNA from 1 species